UAUUCUUUAGUUUUGUUUGAUGAUGGUAUUUCCACAUAUGUUCUACAAAAGACAAAAUCAAGAACAAGUAACGACUUAUCAGUUCUGUGAAAUGGAACUGGAAGAGGAAUAUUUAAGGCCAAACUUAUUAAACAGCACUCCAUAAAAGAGCAACUUAAUAAGCUGAAAAGAAGGUUAAUUGAAAACUAUAAUGAAUCUGUCAUGGCAGAAGAUGUUUGCUUAUCUCCUGCAAAUGCUGCUGCUGGUGAACAACAAUUGACAUUCUUCCUAUUAGCCUUAACUUGGACCGAAUAAAAGCUUCAAGAUGAGAUCUUCUAUAUUUGUUACAAAAUUUAUUUCCAUGUACAAUAACUAAUUCAUCAUACCUCAAAAUACGAGACUUCGUCAUCUCUGAAUUUUGGAAAAAUUUUAUUUUUUAAAACAAUUUCUGCUUUUUUAUGUAUUUGGCCGUGAGUUAAAAAUGACAAAGUAAACAAACUUCUAUUACACUUUUUAGAAUUAAUAUUGCCUUUACGGUAAUGUCUUCUUAUUGACAGUUUUGAAAAAAACUCUGCAAUUAGGACAUACUUUGUAAUCAAUAUCCCUUUUUUUCAAUUAUUGGGUCUUCUGCUAACUAAAAUAGUCUAAGAUCCCAACUUACAAUUAGAUCGAUGUUCACCGAUCGAGUUUUCUAAUGAAAUUUGAAUUUUGAUAUAUUGUAAUGUAAUAAACACAACUUGAUUUGGUCGACAUCAAAUUUCCCUGCACAGCUAUUUUUAAUAAAAAAUUAAAUUUCGAUUCAAUUCAAAAUUAAAGUCAAAUUCAAAGUUACCUGUUUAUACCUAUCUACUUCGUUUUAUGCAAGGAACAAAAAUGUCGACCAAACUUCGGCAUAUUGUAUACAUAUUUACCUUCGAUUGGUAAUAAAUAUAUCCAAAAACUCAAUAACUACAUUCACGAAAAAAAUUAACAACUUUAAUUUUUUUAUUAAAAAUAGCUGUGCAGGGAAAUUGGAUGUCGAUCAAAUCAAGUUUUGUUUAUUAAUACUUUAUAUUAUCAAAAUUCACAUUUCAUUAGAAAACUCGAUGGGUGGAAGGUCGAUCUAAGUCGGGAUCUUGUACUAUAAGUUGCCCAUUAUAGAUUUUUUGUGUGUUAAAUAAAAAAUCAGAAAUAGAAAAACGUUUGAUUUCACCAGCUCUGCGCCUAUUAAAUAUCUGAACUGAUGUUAAUGUAUAUUUUGCAAGAUUUAACCAAAUAUUAAAAUCAAACUUAUUUGUAAGUAUAUCCAAACAUUUGUUACGGUUUGUAUUAAGAUAAUUAUUCAACAAUUUAAUAUCGCUCAAGCUGGGUAAUUUAAUUUUCUUGAUUCUUCUAUUUUCUCUGAUUUUCUUAAACUGUUUUAUUAACUGAUGAUGCUAAAUCUUCUAGAAUACUAAGAAAAUUUUUAGUUGUUGAUUGGCCUGUCAUUUCCUUUUUUAUAAACUCAUUAGAAUCUUCAUUUAGAAGUGCAACUUUAUUUACUGCUUUUAUUAUAUUGUAAUAGGCUGGAUUAAACAACGAAGCAAAAUCUGUAAUUAAUGGAUUAAUUUUUUUAACAGCAAUUAACAUUCUUCCUAUUAGCCUUAACUUGAACCGAAUAAAAGCUUCAAGAUGAGGUCUUCUAUAUUUGUUCUACAAUUUAUUUCCAUGUACAAACUAUAUUUAUGGAUCCAUGUUUAUAUAAUCCUUUUUGGUUUAAAAUCACUGAAUCAGCCUGUAAGUUUACUGAUGUACUAUUUAACACAUUUUGAAAAUAUAUUCAAUGCACUAGAAA